rnacentral:misc_RNA from 1 species
GGAAGGAUCAUUAACGUGAAUCCCCCUUUAACAAAACAAACCAACUGUGAACGCCCCUCUUUUUUUUCCCUCUCUCUCCUAGUGUGUGAAAGAGUGGAAAAAAAAUCAACCACAUUGUUAAACCACACAAAUCAACCACAUUCUGAACGAGAGAGGUUUGUUAUUUUUUUUACAUAAAUAACAAGCCACACAAAAAACAAGUCUGACGACUUUCAACGGUGGAUCUCUCGGCUCGUGUAACGAUGAAGAACGCUGCGAACUGCGAUACGUAAUGCGAAUUGCACAACUCAGUGAAUCAUCAAACCUUUGAACGCAUGUUGCACUACGAAAGUAAUUUCGUAGUAUGCCUGGUCGAGUGUCUUUUCCAAACCCUCAACAACCAAAACUUUUUGUUUUUGUUCUUGAGGUAUGGCAUCUCUCUGCAAAGCAACACGCACACAGAUACUAUACUGUGUGUGGGAUUUUGUUUUGUGCAUGAGAGGAAACGUCAAUUUGAGAGUCCACCUUUUGUUGUUUUUCUUCGGAAACACAACAUAAAAAAAGUCGUCUCUUUAAAUCCAACAGGAAAAAGAGGAAAAAGAGGAGAACGAGGAGAGGAGAAGAAGAAACACAAAAUUCUCUCUCUCUCUAACGAAGGGCGUCUCUCUCUCGCUUCCCCCAUGUGGUAAACGCCUCAUGGUCUAAAUGGGAAUGUGAACAGUGUGAACCCCCCUCCGAUUAUAUUAGAGAGUGAGAACAAACAAAAAGAAUCUUGUUGUAUGUAUUCUUUCUCGCUAUCUUUCCCCAUUCUCACACUUUUCUCCUCGAUCCAACAACAACUUUCAGGAGUGUAACAACAACAACACUCGGAACUUUUUGACCUCGACUCAGGCAAGGCUACCCGCUGAACUUAAGCAUAUCAUUAAGCGGAGGAAGAGAAACUAACAAGGAUUCCCCUAGUAACGGCGAGUGAAGCGGGAAGAGCUCAAGCUUGAAACCUGUGCCUUUUUGCAAGGGCAUCGGAUUGUAGCAUAUAGAAGGAGUGCCCAGGAACGCCAGCGACCUAAAUGCCUUGGAACAGGCUGCCAGAGAGGGUGAGAGCCCCGUCUUUGGUUGCUGGGCCGUUUCUUUUGUGGUACCCUCUCAUCGAGUCGGGUUGCUUGAGAGUGCAGCCUUAAGUGGGUGGUAUACUUCAUCUAAAGCUAAAUAUUGACACGAGACCGAUAGCGAACAAGUACCGUGAGGGAAGAUGAAAAGAACUUUGAAAAGAGAGUUAAACAGUACGUGAAACCGUUGAAAGGGAAGCUGAUGGGUGCAGUGUCUCGUACGGAUGGCGUCUUACGUCGGAUCCGCAAAAGGCCUCUUUGUGAUUUCAGUCAGCGCAAGCGACCACAGGGGGGUUCAGAUGUGGAGACGGGUGCACUACGCCGUCCGGGGCCUCUGGAUACGUUAGGUUUUAUGGCAGGUAAAAGCCAAGGGUUUGGUAGAUACACUUCGGUUGUCGACAGCCCUUUGGUGGAACACUGUCAGCUUGACGGAGGAAUUCAACACACAGCAAGGCUCUUUUGCCAUGCUAUUGUGGUCAUGCCCGGUUGGACGAUCAGCGGUUGACUUUUUUAAAGUCCUCCGUUGGUCUCCCUGAGUGUGGCUGCGUGGCAUUUUUUUGCUUGUAUGGAUCCAGAGUAAAUGCUCUCAUCAGGCCCGUCUUGAAACACGGACCAAGGAGUCUAACAUGUAUGCGAGUCGUAGGGUGGAAAACCCGAAGGCGGAAUGAAAGUAAAGGCAGGCUCGGUCUGCUGAGGUGGGAAUCCCUAUCUCCCUUUCGGGGGGGGGGGGGAGGCACCAUUAACCGAUCAUGAUCCUCGGUGAAUGAUUUGAGUGAGAGCAUAUCUGUUGGUACCCGAAAGAUGGUGAACUAUGCCUGCAUAGGGCGAAGCCAGAGGAAACUCUGGUGGAGGCUCGUAGCGAUACUGACGUGCAAAUCGUUCGUCAAAUGUGGGUAUAGUGGCGAAAGACUAAUCGAACCAUCUAGUAGCUGGUUCCCUC